GGGUUGUGAGGUUAAGCGACUAAGCGUACACGGUGGAUGCCCUGGCAGUCAGAGGCGAUGAAGGACGUGCUAAUCUGCGAUAAGCGCCGGUAAGGUGAUAUGAACCGUUAUAACCGGCGAUUUCCGAAUGGGGAAACCCAGUGUGAUUCGUCACACUAUCAUUAACUGAAUCCAUAGGUUAAUGAGGCGAACCGGGGGAACUGAAACAUCUAAGUACCCCGAGGAAAAGAAAUCAACCGAGAUUCCCCCAGUAGCGGCGAGCGAACGGGGAGGAGCCCAGAGCCUGAAUCAGCAUGUGUGUUAGUGGAAGCGUCUGGAAAGGUGCGCGAUACAGGGUGACAGCCCCGUACACAAAAGCGCAUGUGCUGUGAGCUCGAUGAGUAGGGCGGGACACGUGGUAUCCUGUCUGAAUAUGGGGGGACCAUCCUCCAAGGCUAAAUACUCCUGACUGACCGAUAGUGAACCAGUACCGUGAGGGAAAGGCGAAAAGAACCCCGGCGAGGGGAGUGAAAAAGAACCUGAAACCGUGUACGUACAAGCAGUGGGAGCACAGGUUUACCUGUGUGACUGCGUACCUUUUGUAUAAUGGGUCAGCGACUUAUAUUCUGUAGCAAGGUUAACCGUAUAGGGGAGCCGUAGGGAAACCGAGUCUUAACCGGGCGUUAAGUUGCAGGGUAUAGACCCGAAACCCGGUGAUCUAGCCAUGGGCAGGUUGAAGGUUGGGUAACACUAACUGGAGGACCGAACCGACUAAUGUUGAAAAAUUAGCGGAUGACCUGUGGCUGGGGUGAAAGGCCAAUCAAACCGGGAGAUAGCUGGUUCUCCCCGAAAGCUAUUUAGGUAGCGCCUCGUGAAUUCAUCUCCGGGGUAGAGCACUGUUUCGGCUAGGGGCCAUCCCGGCUUACCAACCCGAUGCAAACUGCGAAUACCGGAGAAUGUUAUCACGGGAGACACACGGCGGGUGCUAACGUCCGUCGUGAAGAGGGAAACAACCCAGACCGCCAGCUAAGGUCCCAAAGUCAUGGUUAAGUGGGAAACGAUGUGGGAAGGCCCAGACAGCCAGGAUGUUGGCUUAGAAGCAGCCAUCAUUAAAAGAAAGCGUAAUAGCUCACUGGUCGAGUCGGCCUGCGCGGAAGAUGUAACGGGGCUAAACCAUGCACCGAAGCUGCGGCAGCGAACGUAUCACUUAAAGCGAUUCAGCGGGUUACGAUUGACGGAGCGAAGCGACGUCAAAGCGUAUACAAAGUCGAGUCGGUUUAAGGAUACGUUCGUUGGGUAGGGGAGCGUUCUGUAAGCCCGUGAAGGUGGCCUGUGAGGGUUGCUGGAGGUAUCAGAAGUGCGAAUGCUGACAUAAGUAACGAUAAAGCGGGUGAAAAGCCCGCUCGCCGGAAGACCAAGGGUUCCUGUCCAACGUUAAUCGGGGCAGGGUGAGUCGACCCCUAAGGCGAGGCCGAAAGGCGUAGUCGAUGGGAAACGGGUUAAUAUUCCCGUACUUGGUGUUACUGCGAAGGGGGACGGAGAAGGCUAUGUUGGCCGGGCGACGGUUGUCCCGGUUUAAGCGUGUAGGUGUGUGUUCCAGGUAAAUCCGGUUCACUUUAACACUGAGGCGUGACGACGAGGCACUACGGUGCUGAAGCAACAAAUGCCCUGCUUCCAGGAAAAGCCUCUAAGCAUCAGGUAACAUCAAAUCGUACCCCAAACCGACACAGGUGGUCAGGUAGAGAAUACCAAGGCGCUUGAGAGAACUCGGGUGAAGGAACUAGGCAAAAUGGUGCCGUAACUUCGGGAGAAGGCACGCUGACACGUAGGUGAAGUGAUUUACUCAUGGAGCUGAAGUCAGUCGAAGAUACCAGCUGGCUGCAACUGUUUAUUAAAAACACAGCACUGUGCAAACACGAAAGUGGACGUAUACGGUGUGACGCCUGCCCGGUGCCGGAAGGUUAAUUGAUGGGGUCAGCGCAAGCGAAGCUCCUGAUCGAAGCCCCGGUAAACGGCGGCCGUAACUAUAACGGUCCUAAGGUAGCGAAAUUCCUUGUCGGGUAAGUUCCGACCUGCACGAAUGGCGUAAUGAUGGCCAGGCUGUCUCCACCCGAGACUCAGUGAAAUUGAACUCGCUGUGAAGAUGCAGUGUACCCGCGGCAAGACGGAAAGACCCCGUGAACCUUUACUAUAGCUUGACACUGAACAUUGAGCCUUGAUGUGUAGGAUAGGUGGGAGGCUUUGAAGUGUGGACGCCAGUCUGCAUGGAGCCGACCUUGAAAUACCACCCUUUAAUGUUUGAUGUUCUAACGUGGACCCGUAAUCCGGGUUGCGGACAGUGUCUGGUGGGUAGUUUGACUGGGGCGGUCUCCUCCUAAAGAGUAACGGAGGAGCACGAAGGUUGGCUAAUCCUGGUCGGACAUCAGGAGGUUAGUGCAAUGGCAUAAGCCAGCUUGACUGCGAGCGUGACGGCGCGAGCAGGUGCGAAAGCAGGUCAUAGUGAUCCGGUGGUUCUGAAUGGAAGGGCCAUCGCUCAACGGAUAAAAGGUACUCCGGGGAUAACAGGCUGAUACCGCCCAAGAGUUCAUAUCGACGGCGGUGUUUGGCACCUCGAUGUCGGCUCAUCACAUCCGGGGGGUGAAGUAGGUCCCAAGGGUAUGGCUGUUCGCCAUUUAAAGUGGUACGCGAGCUGGGUUUAGAACGUCGUGAGACAGUUCGGUCCCCUAUCUGCCGUGGGCGCUGGAGAACUGAGGGGGGCUGCUCCUAGUACGAGAGGACCGGAGUGGACGCAUCACUGGUGUUCGGGUUGUCAUGCCAAUGGCACUGCCCGGUAGCUAAAUGCGGAAGAGAUAAGUGCUGAAAGCAUCUAAGCACGAAACUUGCCCCGAGAUGAGUUCUCCCCUGAGACUUAGAGUCUCCUGAAGGAACGUUGAAGACGACGACGUUGAUAGGCCGGGUGUGUAAGCGCAGCGAUGCGUUGAGCUAACCGGUACUAAUGAACCGUGAGGCUUAACCUUACAACGCCGAAG
rnacentral:rRNA from 1 species